ensembl:lncRNA
UACUAUUCCAGAUGAUACGCAACUGGGUUUUGGAGAACUCUUUACUAAAAUACCCUUAAGUCAUAAAAGCGUUCUUUGAAGUAGAACAGGAGGCAGCUGCUACAGUAACUUGAUGAUCAAAGAUGUUGCUAUCCCCAUGGUCAAUGAGAAUGAAAACUUGAUUUUAGUGUGGAAGUGUUUGGGGAGAAGAAAUAAUUUCUUACUGAUAAAAGAAAGCUGGAAGCGGAGCAAGGAGGCUGUGGACCUAUCUCCUUUCCUACACCUUCACCUGGCCCCUUAGGUUUGCCCUUGAAAGAAAACAUGCUGGCCGGCCUCCCUCCAGACAAGCCCUGUGAGUGCCUUUGUGAGGACAAAAUCUUCAUGCUAAUCCAUCCUUCUAUGGGGAACAGCAAAGAAAGGAACAAAGGGUUUGCAGGCUGGCACUGGCCCAGAGACCUCACUUUGAGUAGCACUAAAAAAGUAACAGCUUCAACCUAUGAUGAUGACGCCAGCAGAUAAUCCCUCCACCUUCCACCUCAAGACAGCUGUGUGUGCUAUGAAUGCUCAUUUGAGAGCCACAGAAGAGUAAAGUGGGUAGACUUCGAGGCUGAUAGAAGACACCAAGCCCAUGAUCUGUGUGGCAGGAGUGACAGACUUGCUGGAAGGAUGCAAGGCGGUAGGAAGCGAGGGCAGGCUGGGUGAACCCACGAGUGUCUUAUGGUUCUGAUCAAGUCAAGAGAGAGACAAGGACCAGCAUUUCAAGUGUUACAGACUUCUGCCUCAGAAACCAUCAAUGACCAGAAGAGCCUGGAAGAACACAAGGACACCCCAUGGAUCUCAUGACUUGUCUUCCUCUCACCCACAUAAGAGGUCACGUAAGCCAUUCUCCCCUUUCCCCCCUCUUGUCUUCACACUUCUCCGGAAGUGCUGAACCAUCUUAGGGAUAGAGCCAGGGAGAGCCAAAAGGCUAUCUGAGGGACUAAAAGACUCUAUGCAAAUGAGAAACUGAGUUUUAUUAUGUAAAGAAUGAUUUAGUUUAUUAGAUCAGACUAACUUUCAACCACAUUGGACAUUUACUUUCCCCUUACUGCUCUAGGAUGACCGUCUUGUCCGGUUUCCUAGGACUUUUCUGGUUUUAGCACUGAAAGUCUCACACUCAGAAACCUCUCAGUCCUCAGCAAACUUGGACUUCACCACCUGCACAAAGAGAAGGCAGGAAUUCAUGAAGGAGACCAGUUAAUAACGUAGUAAAUAAAUAAAUUACCACUUCUCUGCACAUCAAAAUUGUAACAUGGGUUACGUUUUGCAGCGCUACUACAAACUAUGCAUUGAGUGACUAUGGGCCAAGCAAUGUCAUAGGCCCUAGUGAUGCAGUAAUAAACAAGACAGAGUUGAUCUCUGCCCUCAUGGCAGCUCUCUACAGCUAUGGAAAGGACUUCCAGCUACUUAAACUUUCUUGUCUCAGGUUAGUAUAUGUUUAAGAGUCAAGCCUGAAAUAGAAAAGGAAAAUAAAUUCUGGAUGUAAAUACCACCUUUCUGUAAAAAUCACUCCCCAAUCCCGUCCUACAGCAUGUUCAUUUGGCACAUUGCUCUAUGCGCUCUAUGUGCACCUUUGCUUGAUGGAAAGUCUAAUCAGCUAUGCGACUGUGACGAUGAAGAAAUCACUAUUUUCAAUAAACGGAGCCAAGACUAUUUUUAAAAACAGUUUUCCUAAGCUUAAUUAUUGUCAGAUACCUUUCUACUGAAAAAAAAAAACUUGCCGUAAAAUCAACAAUUUAUAAGGGUAAGCAACAAAGAAAAAAUUAAUCAUACGUUUAAUCCUACUCUGAGAAACCACCAUUGCGAUUUUGGUGGUCAUUCUUUUGUUUACCUUUUUGUGUGUACAUGUACAAAUAUACAUAAUUUUAAUUAACUAGGAUGCUGAAACACAAUCUUGGUUUUUCUCUUUUCCAGUUUUAUUGAGCUAUAAUUGGCAAAUAAAAUUAUAUAUAUUUAAAAUGUACAAGGUGAUCAUUUGACAUAUGGAUACUUUGUG